rnacentral:rRNA from 1 species
CUACGGGCGGCUGCAGUGGGGAAUAUUGGACAAUGGGCGAAAGCCUGAUCCAGCAAUACCGCGUGAAUGAUGAAGGCCUUAGGGUUGUAAAAUUCUUUUAGUAGGGAAGAUAAUGACGGUACCUACAGAAAAAGCACCGGCUAACUUCGUGCCAGCAGCCGCGGUAAUACGAAGGGUGCUAGCGUUGUUCGGAAUUAGUGGGCGUAAAGCGUGCGUAGGCGGUUUGGUAAGUCGGCUGUGAAAUCCCAGAGCUCAACUCUGGAAUUGCAGUCGAAACUACCUGACUAGAGUAUGGUAGGGGAUAGUAGAAUUCCUAGUGUAGGGGUGAAAUCCGUAGAUAUUAGGAGGAAUACCAGUGGCGAAGGCGACUAUCUAGGCCAUUACUGACGCUGAGGUACGAAAGCGUGGGGAGCAAACAGGAUUAGAUACCCCCGUAGUC